GCCGGCCUGCAAAGUUUGUGUUUGCGGAAGCCGUUUUUUUGAACCAACACUUGGUGAACUGGGGGCUCGACUCGUAAAACGGUCCGGUGUGCGAAGCUCCGCCAGACGGAGAUGCCUAAAGGAUCGCGGCGGGUUCCCACCGUCGUAGACGGGUUCAUCAAACGGUGACGCACACGGCCAAGCGGGUCGGCU
rnacentral:other from 1 species